rnacentral:tRNA from 1 species
GGCUAUAUCUCAGUGGUAAAGUGCUUGCCUUGCAUGUAUGAGGCACUGGGUUCAAUCCUCAGCACCA